rnacentral:rRNA from 1 species
AUGGCGGAGGCCAUCUUCUCGGCAGUUGUCGGAGACAUGGUCAGCAGGGUGAUAUCGCUUCUCGCUGGCAGGUUCAAAGGACAAGGGUGCACCGAAGCCAAGCUACGGAGGAUUUUCCAUAUGCUUAUCAAGGUUCACAGUGCAGUAGAGGAAGCCAAAGGGAGGCAGAUCACAAACUGUGGCACCCUCGAGUGGCUUUCGGAGCUCAACGACGGCGUGUACCAGGGCCACUACCUACUCGACACAGUCGGAUGCAGGGAGCAGGAGCUUGAAGAUGUCCAUGCUGACAAGGUAAUGGUGCAACCUUUUUCUUUCUCCUUGUUUAAUCCUGCAAAGCGUGUGCGCGUAGCGGCAUGUGCCAUGAAGAGCCUAUUGUCUCGCCAUGAUGUUGGUGUUCCUGAGGCGAUAGAUCGAGUGGUAGAGACCUUGGAAAUGAUAUCCAGUGAUCUCAAGGAGUUCCUGAUGCUCCUACAGAACUGUCAGCCUAUCCAUCGUUCUUUGGCUUCUAAUAUAUUCAUGGAGGGGCAGAUGUUUGGCCGACAUGUCGAAAAAGAGAGGAUCAUAAACUUCCUGCUGCACGAUGGUGGUGUGUCAGCUGGAAAACUGGGUGUGCUUCCCAUCGUCGGUGACAUAGGAGUUGGGAAGACCACCCUUGCGCAGCAUGUCUGCGAUGAUGAGAGGGUGCGCAGCCACUUUCCAAUAAUCUUGUAUUCCAAUUUCUCAUAUACCAGGGCAAUGGCCCAGGGUGAGGCAGAGUUUGUUCUAGGAUCCAGUGAUGCAGUUAGAGAUGCUCAAACUUUCAUUGAGUCACUGCACAUACUCAAGGGGAGUUACCCCACCAAGAGGUUCCUGAUGGUCUUCGAAGAUGUUGAUGUGGGCAAGAAACAGACGCUAGAAGAGUUACUGCCAAUCUUAAGACAUGGCAAACAUGGAAGCAGGAUCGUAAUCACCACAAACAACAGGGCUAUAGCGAGCAUGGGAACGGUGCAGCCGAUCAAUCUGAAGGUUAUGCCGCAUCAGGAGUACUGGUUCUUCUUCAAGGCGCACGCGUUUGCUGGCAGAGAUGUCGAGGAAGACCCAAUAAUGUUAGCAGCAGGCAACGCGAUUGCGAGGAAGCUAAAUGGGUCAUUCUUCGGAGCAAAAAUCGUCGGCGGGGUGCUGAAAGCUCACUCAAAUCCCCGGUUCUGGUGCAAGGUGCUGAGGAGCAAUAUAAGGGGCUUAUCUCUGUUGGAGGGUCUGUAUCAGGCAAGACCUGGUGCCCCGCAUGCCUGUUUGGCAACUGAUAUCCGGUUUGCAAAAGGUUUGUUAUGCAGGUCAAUGUUGCCACUCGAACUCUUGUACUACACUGCUCAUUGCAGUGUGCGCCGGCCGGACUAUUCACCACAAUUCAUCAAAAUGGAAGGAAGUAGAUUUGCCCAUAUACUCGUCAAGAAACGAUAA